CAUUACAGAGCGUUCAUGCCCGUGAGGGUAGGAGCCCCAACCCUUGUGUAUAUAUAUUGUUGCUUUAGCAGGUCGUCCCUCGGGACGUUGGCCUCGGUCGACCGUGCCUGCUAGAGGACCCUAAACUUUGAAAUACAGUGUCGUCUGAGUACUAUUUAAUAGUUAAAACUUUCAACAACGGAUCUCUUGGUUCUGGCAUCGAUGAAGAACGCAGCGAAAUGCGAUAAGUAAUGUGAAUUGCAGAAUUCAGUGAAUCAUCGAAUCUUUGAACGCACAUUGCGCCCCUUGGUAUUCCGGGGGGCAUGCCUGUUCGAGCGUCAUUUAGACCAACUCCCGCUCCGGCGGGGUCUUGGGCUUCGCCUCUGGGCGGGCCUCAAAACCAGUGGCGGCGCCGGUAGGCUCUACGCGUAGUAAUUCUUCUCGCGAUAGGGUCCUGUCGGUGUCUCGCCAACAACCCCCAACUUCUUAAGGUUGACCUCGGAU
rnacentral:rRNA from 1 species